GACGUAGGGCGCGAGCGUUGUCCGGAUUUAUUGGGCGUAAAGAGCUCGUAGGCGGCUUGUCGCGUCGUCCGUGAAAACCCACAGCUCAACUGUGGGCUUGCGGUCGAUACGGGCAGGCUAGAAUUCGGUAGGGGAGACUGGAAUUCCUGGUGUAGCGGUGAAAUGCGCAGAUAUCAGGAGGAACACCGGUGGCGAAGGCGGGUCUCUGGGCCGAUACUGACGCUGAGGAGCGAAAGCGUGGGGAGCGAACAGG
rnacentral:rRNA from 1 species